rnacentral:rRNA from 1 species
UUGAUUCUGGCUCAGAACGAACGCUGGCGGCAUGCCUAACACAUGCAAGUCGAACGAAGCCUUCGGGCUUAGUGGCGCACGGGUGCGUAACGCGUGGGAAUCUGCCCUUGGGUUCGGAAUAACAGUUAGAAAUGACUGCUAAUACCGGAUGAUGUCUUCGGACCAAAGAUUUAUCGCCCAAGGAUGAGCCCGCGUCGGAUUAGCUAGUUGGUGAGGUAAAGGCUCACCAAGGCGACGAUCCGUAGCUGGUCUGAGAGGAUGAUCAGCCACACUGGGACUGAGACACGGCCCAGACUCCUACGGGAGGCAGCAGUGGGGAAUAUUGGACAAUGGGCGAAAGCCUGAUCCAGCCAUGCCGCGUGUGUGAAGAAGGCCUUUUGGUUGUAAAGCACUUUAAGCAGGGAGGAGAGGCUAAUGGUUAAUACCCAUUAGAUUAGACGUUACCUGCAGAAUAAGCACCGGCUAACUCUGUGCCAGCAGCCGCGGUAAUACAGAGGGUGCGAGCGUUAAUCGGAUUUACUGGGCGUAAAGCGUGCGUAGGCGGCUUUUUAAGUCGGAUGUGAAAUCCCCGAGCUUAACUUGGGAAUUGCAUUCGAUACUGGUUGGCUAGAGUAUGGGAGAGGAUGUAGAAUUCCAGGUGUAGCGGUGAAAUGCGUAGAGAUCUGGAGGAAUACCGAUGGCGAAGGCAGCCAUCUGGCCUAAUACUGACGCUGAGGUACGAAAGCAUGGGGAGCAAACAGGAUUAGAUACCCUGGUAGUCCAUGCCGUAAACGAUGUCUACUAGCCGUUGGGGCCUUUGAGGCUUUAGUGGCGCAGCUAACGCGAUAAGUAGACCGCCUGGGGAGUACGGUCGCAAGACUAAAACUCAAAUGAAUUGACGGGGGCCCGCACAAGCGGUGGAGCAUGUGGUUUAAUUCGAUGCAACGCGAAGAACCUUACCUAGGUUUGACAUAUGCGAGAACUCUCUAGAGAUAGAGAGCUCUUUGGACACUCGUAUACAGGUGGUGCAUGGCUGUCGUCAGCUCGUGUCGUGAGAUGUUGGGUUAAGUCCCGCAACGAGCGCAACCCUCGUCUUUAGUUGCUAUCAUUCAGUUGGGCACUCUAAAGAAACUGCCGGUGAUAAGCCGGAGGAAGGUGGGGAUGACGUCAAGUCCUCAUGGCCCUUACGGGCUGGGCUACACACGUGCUACAAUGGCGGUGACAAUGGGCAGCAAACCCGCGAGGGUGAGCUAAUCUCCAAAAGCCGUCUCAGUUCGGAUUGUUCUCUGCAACUCGAGAGCAUGAAGGCGGAAUCGCUAGUAAUCGCGGAUCAGCAUGCCGCGGUGAAUACGUUCCCAGGCCUUGUACACACCGCCCGUCACACCAUGGGAGUUGGUUUCACCCGAAGGCAGUGCGCUAACCGCAAGGAGGCAGCUGACCACGGUGGGAUCAGCGACUGGGGUGAAGUCGGAACAAGGUAGCCGAGGG